UACGUAGGGUGCAAGCGUUAAUCGGAAUUACUGGGCGUAAAGCGUGCGCAGGCGGCUUUGCAAGACAGGUGUGAAAGCCCCGAGCUUAACUUGGGAAUUGCGCUUGUGACUGGCGUGCUGGAGUGUGGCAGAGGGAGGUGGAAUUCCACGUGUAGCAGUGAAAUGCGUAGAGAUGUGGAGGAACACCGAUGGCGAAGGCAGCCUCCUGGGCCAGCACUGACGCUCAUGCACGAAAGCGUGGGGAGCAAACAGG
rnacentral:rRNA from 1 species